rnacentral:rRNA from 1 species
AUUGAACGCUGGCGGUAGGCCUAACACAUGCAAGUCGAACGAGUGGCGGACGGGUGAGUAAUGUCUGGGAAACUGCCCGAUGGAGGGGGAUAACUACUGGAAACGGUAGCUAAUACCGCAUACCAUCAGAUGUGCCCAGAUGGGAUUAGCUAGUAGGUGGGGUAACGGCUCACCUAGGCGACGCUCCCUAGCUGGUCUGAGAGGAUGACCAGCCACACUGGAACUGAGACACGGUCCAGACUCCUACGUGAGGCAGCAGUGGGGAAUAUUGCACAAGGGGCGCAAGCCUGAUGCAGCCAUGCCGCGUGUGUGAAGAAGGCCUUCGGGUUGUAAAGCACUUUCAGCGGGGAGGCGUUACCCGCAGAAGAAGCACCGGCUAACUCCGUGCCAGCAGCCGCGGUAAUAC